UGGGGAAUAUUGCACAAUGGGCGCAAGCCUGAUGCAGCCAUGCCGCGUGUGUGAAGAAGGCCUUCGGGUUGUAAAGCACUUUCNGCGAGGAGGAAGGUGGUGGACUUAAUACGUUCAUCAAUUGACGUUACUCGCAGAAGAAGCACCGGCUAACUCCGUGCCAGCAGCCGCGGUAAUACGGAGGGUGCAAGCGUUAAUCGGAAUUACUGGGCGUAAAGCGCACGCAGGCGGUUUGUUAAGUCAGAUGUGAAAUCCCCGGGCUCAACCUGGGAACUGCAUUUGAAACUGGCAAGCUAGAGUCUCGUAGAGGGGGGUAGAAUGUCCAGGUGUAGCGGUGAAAUGCGUAGAGAUCUGGAGGAAUACCGGUGGCGAAGGCGGCCCCCCUGGACGAAGACUGACGCUCAGGUGCGAAAGCGUGGGGAGCAAACAGAUUAGAUACCCUGGCAGUCAGCGCUGUAAACGAUGUCGUUUUGGAGGUUGUGCCCUUGAGGCGUGGCUUCCGGAGCUAACGCGUUAAAUCGACCGCCU
rnacentral:rRNA from 1 species